GCCAGGGGGCCCCUCCCCACCGGGGCGGAAGCCGGGUCCAGCCGGCAGAAGAUCCGGGGCUGGGGAAAAAAGGGUAGUCCUGCGAAGACUGAAGGGUGAGGACGGGGCGCCCACUCUGCGCGUGAUCGCCGGCCCUGCGCGUGCGCCCUGGCGCGGCCCGGGUGACAGGGUGUGGAAACUUCUCAUUUGGAAUUAGUAGAAUCUAUUUGGACAUAUAUGCCACAUGUUCACAUUUUGGGGAAAUUUUGUAAUCAUAAUGGAGCAUUUCCAAUUCCUCCUGAAAAUAAACUGAAAAUUCCUGUAGGAGCCAAAAUUCAAACUUCACAUUUAGUUGUUCAACUGGCAUGAUUUUGCUUUUUUUGACCCUGUGAUGUAUGAGAGUUUGUGGCAGCUUAUCCUCACCUCUCAAAGUUCAGAUGCUGAUGCUGUUUUCUCUGCAAUGGAUUUGGCAUUUGCAAUUGACCUGUGUAAAGAAGAGGGUGGAGGGACAGGUAAAGCAAAUAUGUAAUUUUCUGAUUCUGGCAAAAGAAUUGUCUGUUGUACUUAUCUUACAUAGAAACAGUUUAGAUAGAUUGGGACCAAGAGAGGGAGAGACACAAGUAGAUGAAGUGGAGGAGGGGGUGGUGGUGGGGUUUGGAGAUGGAUGGAGAGUUAGUUCUUUUGUGCUUAUUUAGGCCAAAAAUGUUUGUAUUUCCUAGGUAAGGUAUAGAAUUGUCUUUAGAUUUAAAAAUUUCAGAAAAUUGUUACUAGUGUUUUGACAAAAUUGUUUUUCAAUGGUACUGCUAAAUUUUUUACAAGUUGAACUUAUUCCUAAUGGUGUAAAUAUACCAGUCACGCCCCAGAAUGUCUAUGAGUAUGUGCAGAAAUAUGCAGAACACAGAAUGUUGGUAGUUGCAGAACAGCCAUUACAUGCAAUGAGGAAAGGUCUAUUGGAUGUGCUUCCCAAAAAUUCAUUAGAAGAUUUAACAGCAGAAGACUUUAGGCUUUUGGUAAAUGGCUGUGGUGAAGUUAAUGUGCAAAUGCUGAUCAGUUUCACCUCUUUCAAUAAUGAAUCAGGUAUGAUUUUUUAAAAUGUUUAAGGAAUAAAUUACAUAGAUUAGGCAUUUUAUAAGUUUCUGGUUCUUAAAUAUGUAUAGGGCUUAGGAAAUGCUGUAUUACUCAGGUGUUAAAAAUAUUUUUUUAAAACCAUUAAACUCUUAUGGCUUGGCAUUAGGUUAUUUUAUUGCUUAAUUUUUCAAGGUUUUAAAGGUUUUAAAUAAUAGACGGUUUGGUGUAAAUAUAAGUAAAAAAUUUUUGUGGUAAGCAACUAUAAAAGGUAUUUUUAUAUACUAAUUUUAAAAAAUCCAUGUGACAGUUCUGUUUGUUGGUCCUUCCUGAUUUUCAUUAAAGAAUUUGACUGCAUGAUGUUUGCU